rnacentral:rRNA from 1 species
AGAGUUUGAUCAUGGCUCAGAAUCAACGCUGGCGGCGCGCUUAACACAUGCAAGUCGCACGAGAAAGCGGGAGCAAUCUCGCAAGUAAAGUGGCGUACGGGUGAGUAACACGUGGGUAAUCUACCUUUUAGUGGGGAAUAACCCUGGGAAACCGGGGCUAAUACCGCAUAAGCUCGGAAGAGGAAAGCAGCAAUGCGCUGAAAGAGGAGCCCGCGGCCGAUUAGCUAGUUGGGAGGGUAAAAGCCUACCAAGGCAAAGAUCGGUAGCCGGCCUGAGAGGGCACACGGCCACACUGGCACUGAAACACGGGCCAGACUCCUACGGGAGGCAGCAGUGGGGAAUCUUGCACAAUGGGGGAAACCCUGAUGCAGCGACGCCGCGUGAGCGAUGAAGCCCUUCGGGGUGUAAAGCUCUUUCGGCAGGGACGAUGAUGACGGUACCUGCAGAAGCAGCUGCGGCUAACUACGUGCCAGCAGCCGCGGUAAUACGUAGGCAGCGAGCGUUGUUCGGAGUUACUGGGCGUAAAGGGUGUGUAGGCGGUUUUCUAAGUUUGGUGUGAAAUCUCCCGGCUCAACCGGGAGGGUGCGCCGAAAACUGGGAGACUAGAGUGCGGGAUGGGAGAGUAGAAUUCCUGGUGUAGCGGUGAAAUGCGUAGAUAUCAGGAGGAAUACCGGUGGUGUAGACGGCUCUCUGGACCGCCACUGACGCUGAGACACGAAAGCGUGGGUAGCAAACAGGAUUAGAUACCCUGGUAGUCCACGCCCUAAACGAUGCAUAUUUGGUGUAGGUCAUUCAGUUGAUCUGUGCCGGAGCUAACGCGUUAAAUAUGCCGCCUGGGGAGUACAGUCGCAAGGCUGAAACUCAAGGAAUUGACGGGGGCCCGCACAAGCGGUGGAGCAUGUGGUUCAAUUCGACGCAACGCGAAGAACCUUACCUGGGCUCGAACGGCUGGUUAACGGCAUUGGAAACAGUGCUACUCG